rnacentral:lncRNA from 1 species
ACUCGUCCCUAAGCAAUGAUAAUCUCAUGGAUGGAUCAGAAGUUGUCGUAAUGCCUUUAAAAGUUGAUGGUACACAUGCUUAUAAACAAGAUCCUAUCCCUAAGUUAGAGUAAACUGUCAAGAAUUAAAACUUACUUACUUUACCUUUCUCCAUGGGACUUGUAACCGUCACUUCUGUCUUGAGUAGUUAAAAGAUAGAACAGUCUAGUCAAGUGCCAUGUCUCUUAUUCUUGAUCAGCUAUAGCUCUGGAGUUUUUGCAGAUUUUCAAAUAAAACUCAGAGAUUCCUUGUAUGACUCUCUCAGAUCUCUCCUUUGUCGUAUUUUUGGAUCCUUACCAAGGCAUUGAUGGUAUAUUCCUUCUCUCAAAAUAUGUAGUAUUUGUGGUAUAAAGCAUAGUGACAUUGCCUUCUCUCUCACCCUACUCUAACAAGGCUUUUGAUAUCUGGAGCUCAUAGGUGGGAGAUAAAGUAUACAUACUUACAAGACAUUUAUUGCAUAGUCAAAUCAUGGAUCCAAAGAAACAAGUCAAGAAAUCAAAUCAAGAUGUGCAUGUGUGGCGAAUGAAUGGUGUAUGGUGAUGAUGGUGAUAACAAUGGUGAAAGUCUAAUUCUACUUUUGCUCUUUUGAGGGGAUACAUAUCUUUCUUGCUUUUUGAAACUUUUUUAGGAGAAUGAGAUGCUCUAUAUUUUCUUUUUCUUUCCUCUCAGGUGGGUAUUUUGUACCCCUAAUUCUACUGUCGGACACUUGUCCAUUUUUACCUCUCGUCUUACUUUUUCUUUUCUUUCGAGGUUCCGGGCACUUGCCCCUUUUUAUUUCCUCGUAUCUCUCUUUUUUUAGAGCACUCAUCUCUUGAAAUAAUAUAGCAAGUGGUAGUAACCAAGAUAACUUGAGCAUUUAUUUCACACGGGAAAAACAGAAAUGUUUUUGGCUAUUCUCUCCUAGAUUAGGAGUAGAAUAUUUUUGGGUGGUUCUGGAGAUGGAAAUGGGUGGAUAUAUGUGGAUGCGUACUUCCGGAGUAGAAGCAGCAUGUAUGAGUGAAUGUGCAAGUGAAUCUUGAUUUAACCACAUGACAAACUCCUAAGGGUCUACACAGCUUGACCACACUCAAUGCUCAUAAGCAGUAAAAAGUAAAUGUGUGGCUUAAAGUCUAGCAAGCAUGUAUAUAUGGCUGUGGUAGGAAUUUAAACUCUCAUCAUACAGGAACUCAUCAUGUGUUAAAGAUUUUUAAAGAUAAAAUUCUCUAGAAUUCUAGCAUCUCUAGGAACAGAUAAACAGCAGCUCAACCUUCCCAUAUCAUAUCCGUUAACAACUUAGACUUCAGAUCAAGUUUUCUUCCCACAAGUUUAGGUUUAGAGCAAGCUUUAAAUUAUAACAGUUAUGUCUAAACUUGAGAGAGAACUCCAAAUUUGAAAAUUAGGCAGAGCAACUACUCAUCAUAUCCAUGCUAGAGUUUUAUUAUUAAGAUUUAGUUUAGCAUAGCUACUUUAUUUAUUUAUUAAACACACUAAGCAAAAGAUAUAUAUAUAUAAGGAUAAAAUCUUUAUUUGGUUUUUCAUAGUUAUGUAUAUUUAUAUAGUAUAAGUAUAAAGAUAGAUAGAAAUACUUAGCGAGAUAAAUGGGGGUGCUCUCCCCCAAGCUGAAUUUUGACGUAAUUUCUUCUGAUGUAGCUAGCAGGUGGCAGAGGUGUAUUUGAAAGUCGGCAAUAUCCUGACAGCGAUUAGAAUGUCCUCCGUCUGCUAGUCUUCUUGAUUAUUAAAUUUUGUGGAGCUCAAAUAGACAACAAAGCUUUGUGGAACUGAUUAGGUGUUAGCAUAAAUAUCUAGCCUUCAUCAUGUUGAGCCUCCUUAAUAAAUGUUACUCUCUAUUUUUUAUAUUUUUGUUUUAUAAAGCAGAAAAAUAUUUAUUUUAUUUUUAUGCCACCACAAUGAAUGUACUUAUGGGUUUUAUGCCACUCGUAUACUCACAUGGGGCUUACUAUUUUUAACAUUUUUAUUUUAUUUUUAGGAUAGUAUGAACAUAAUUAACUAAGUAAACUACUUUAGAUAUUUGAAGGGAAAAGGAUAACUAUAAAGUUUACCUCUUGACAAGGCGUUCGGUGUUUUUAAGUCCUCCGAACGGGACUCUCCGUUUUAUCAGUCGUCCUGGGAUUUGUUGGAUGGCGUAGUCGGUGCUCCCGGCGGCGCCUCUUCUUCAUGUAUAGUUAUCUUUUCUUUCCACACCUGACUCGGUGCUACGGUCUCCUCAGGAUAAUCUUGUUUAAGUUGUAUGUCUUCAGACCUUACUACUCCUUCGUAGUCUGCCCAUGAUGAUUUGCCUCUUCUGGUUGCGGUUACGUCGUCUUCUUCUUGUCCUGACCUGCUUAGAGUCUUCAAUGAUAUAGUUAGAGUCAGUAAAAUAGCGGCGUACCUUCUCUUAGGGGAAGUGCAUAUGGACUUCUCCAGUUCCAAUGUAGAUGAUUGCUUUAACGGAGCUGAGGAACGGUCUUCCAAGGAUGACGGGUGGAUCAUAUUCGUCUUCUCCCAUGUCAAUAACCUGAAAGUCUGUGUAGACAAAAUGAUCAUCUAUUUUGACAGGGACAUUAGUUACUAUACCUUUAACCUCUCGAAAUGUCUGAUCUGCCAUCUAGAGCUGAAUGUAUGUUGGUUUUAGGGGCAUGGUUCCGAAAAAGAGCCGAUAGGUGACUGCGGCCAUUAUGUUGAUGCCCGAUCCGGUGUCACAAAACAUCUUGUAGAAGUUGUAUCCAUUUAUGGAGCAAUAGAUGCUUGGCAUUCCUAGGUCGUCCUUCUUGGUCAGAAACAGUGACUUAAGUCGAUGGUCUUGUCCUUCAUGAACUGCAGUGACCAUCUUAGCUGACUUAGUCCACACUUGCUUGUUCCUGUUCCUCCUGUUGGUCCUCUUCCUCAGUUUUUGUUGGGAUUGCUUUGGGAUUUGUGUAGUCUUGUUCUUAAAGGAAAAUGUCUCCUUCCUCCCUUUGAUGUAGAAACUGAUCUUUACAACACUAGCAUAGAUGACAGCUCCCGAGGUGUUUAAGAAUGGCCUCCCUAAGAUGAUGGGUGGCCUCUCAUCAUUACUGGUCUCUAUCACCACGAAGUCUGCUGGGGCAUACAAGGUACCAACUCGGACAUAGAGGUUCUUCAAUAUUCCCUUUGGGAAACUUAACGCCUGAUCUGCAAACUGUAAACACAUGGUUGUUUCUAAUAAAGGAUAUGUAAAGAAUUUUUCAUAGAGUACCCUGGGCAUAAUGUUGACGCUGGAGCCAAAGUCGCAGAGUGUUUCUAGGAAGUCCACCAUGCCGAUGGAGAUCGGGAUGACGGGGCGUCCUAGAUCGCCUCUCUUGACCGGCAGAAGGUCAGUAGUAACUUCAGUGGCGGGGUUACUCCAGUAGUUACCUGCAUCAAACAUGUCUACAAGAUUUGUAGAUUCUAAUCCUUCCAGUUGUGAUGGUAUAACGGGGUUAGUAGCAGGAACGGCAACAGCUAUUUGAUUUAACUGAGAUUCAAUCAUUUUAUUAAAGCUAAUUUGAUUCUUGAUGGCAGUAGAGAAAUUAUCCAUUCUAUUAUUUAUAUUUUCUAGCUUUUUAUCAUUAGAUGCCAAUUUAUUAGAUAGGUUAUCCAUUAGCUUUCCUUGAUUAGACACUAACUCUCUCAGAGGUGGAAAAUUAUUAUUAUUACUGUAAGAAUUGUUACCUUGAUAAUUACCUGAGUAGUAGCCUUUGUUGAUUCCAACCUUGAUUUUGCUGAGGACGGUUGUAGUAGUAGUAGUUGUUGUUGUUGAUGUAGUUCACAUCCUCAAGCAUCUCAGGGCAGUGAUUGCCUGAGUGUCCAGUAUCUCCACACUCCUCACAAGUCAUGUGAGAGUCGUAGAUGUGCAUAACUUCUUUCUUAUCUCCAGCUCUAUCAUCGAGCUUCUUCAUGAGCAGGUCUAGCUUUGCAGACAGCAUGUCUACCUCCUUGAGCUGAUGCAUACCUCCACCUUUCUUGCGUGUCUGGGUCCUUUCUUCAUUCCAGCCUUGGUUGGAUACCAUCUUCUCCACAAGAGCUGUGGCUUGUGGUAUGGUGAGUGAUAAGAAUGCUCCUCCAGCUGCAGCAUCCAUGGUUUCUCGAGCACUAUUGCCGAGCUCAUGAUAAAAUGUCUGCAUUAGUAGCCAACUCUCCAUUCCAUGAUGGGGACAUUCUAGGAUGUAGUCUUGGAAGCGCUCCCAUGCUUCUGGAACGAAUUCAUCAUGUUGUUGCUGAAAGCUUGUAAUUUUCCCACAGAGAGCAUUGGUCUUGCCCAUGGGAAAGAACUUAGCUAGAAAGUUCGUUGAGCAGAGUGCCCACGUAGUAUUCUUCUCCUUUCUAGCGUAAAACCACUGCUUCGCUCUCCCUAACAGUGAGAAUGGGAAGAGGCAAAGUAGUAUAGCAUCUUUGGGGACUCCUGAUAUGGUAAAUGUGCUGCAAAUCUCCAGAAAGUGUUGGAGAUGAGCACUAGCAUCUUCAUGUGCUUUCCCACAGAACUGGUUGGAUUGCACCAUGUUGAUAAGUCCAGGCUUGAGCUCAAAGUUGCCAUCGAUCUCUGCAGCAGGUCCAGUACGGAUGUUGUCCGUAGUGGGAGCUGAGAACUCAUGGAUCCAUUUGUUCGCCAUGGCUUCGAAUUCUGAAGACAAGUUCCGGUGAUCUUCUUGAUUGGAUGAAACUUCUUGCUGAAGUGUUGAUGAUCUCUUCUUGAGCUUGGCUCUUGUUUUUCUGAAUAAUGCUUCGGGAUUGUCAACAAAAUUUCCUGGAACAUGUCUUCUAUUCAUACAUUACCCUGCAUAAGAUAAAAUAGAAAAAUAUCGGGGUAAAACUGUAUGAGAGAAUUGAUAAGCUCAAUCAUUUUAGUGAUGCGAAUGAUGACUCAAAACUCUAUAUUCAUUCCUGAUUAGUAAUCAACCUUCCCCGGCAAUGGCGCCAAAAAUGCUUGUUGGGUAUUCUUAACAUCAUUACCAAAAGUAGACUUAGUUUUCUAAUUCUGAUAACGGUGCCAAAAAUGCCAAACCUAUCCCUCAUACCACUUAAGCCAAGUUGUCAUCCCCAGCAUGAUAUGAGAGAUGUGGUAUUGAAAUAUGCAAUUUCUCAUCUAAAUAAAUAAUCAAAUGGGAUCUGCAAGCACACAGAUUAAUACCGAUGUAGCAUUUUAACCGGGAAGUAUUCUAGGUAUCGUUAUUUAUAUUUUUACCACUGGGAAGGGAUUACUAAUCAUCAGUGUUGAUUAUAGAAUGGAAUAUAGAAUUGAGUAUCUAUCAUUGCAUGUAUAAUUGAGAACAUUUAUCUAACUCUUUCAUACAGGGAUAAGUGUCACAUAAAGGAUACAUAAAGUAAUGAAUAGUGACAAAGAUAAUUAAUCUGAUCAGAAUAACUUAGCCACAUAUAAAUAUGAUAAGCACCUCAAUUAGAUAUUCUAGCAAGUGAUUAGCAUGGAAUUAGGAUGAACUACAAGAAUAUUUCCUAAGUUAUUCUUAACUAUACAGUCUAGCAUAUCAUAGUUAGUGCAAUUAUACUUAACAAUCAUUGUGAGACAAGGUUACACCCAUGCAUAGCGAUAUUAUCAAGGUAAAUGAGAAACAUAGCAAUCACUCCCCUGUAAUAAUGUUGCUCUGCCAGCCCUAUACACGAGAGGGGGACUAUAUAAGAAUCAAUGAAGCUGUCACUAUCACGAACUACCCCACGAUCUGGCAUAUAGGGUACAAUCGCAGAUAAAUACGGUAUAAGCACCACGUCUACACAAUAUCUACCAUUUACCCAUGGAUCCGAUGGAUAAACGCUAUACGAUCCUAAACAUGUAUAUAAUUCCAAUCUAACUUAGCCAAGUAUAUAAGUAUGAUAAACUAAGAACAAUAUAAUUGCGAAUAUAAACAACUAGAGCAAAGUCAUAAUCAAUAUAUUGAAGUAGAACAAAGUCAUAUUCAUAAUACUGAAGAAAAAAGAUGAACAAUUGAAGAACAAUAGAGAAUUACCAAGAAUCCUCUUGACAGAUCCGGAAACUAAUCGAAGAUUGACUCCUUCUAGUUCUAAUCCUAUGUAGCUAUGCUAAUCUAGAUGUCUAAUUGAUGUGGUGGCUCUAGGCUUGAUCAGAGGCUUCUUCUCCCUUGAUGAAUAAUGAAUUAGGGUUGAGAGCUCUCUUCCUCCAGGGGCCAGGGGGUCUGGUUUUAUAGUCCUUCCAAGUGAAUAUGGGCCGUUGGAUCAAACGGACAUAGAUUGAAUGGUUGUCCUUGAUCCUUUAGGUCGGUGGAGCGUAAUCCCGAAAGAGAGUCCUGAUUGGACUCCAGCAGGGGGCGGGCGCCCUGGUCCCUAGGGCGGGCGCCCUGGGCCAGGCCCCGUUCUGCCUCCGCUUCGUUCCCGUGGCUUCUGGAGUCUUCUAGAUGUAAGAUAAUUGCGCGGCUCGUUAAUAUCUCUAUGUAAUCCCGACAUGUGGGCCUUUCUUCCGUAUUUCCUAAUAACCCCCUGCAGAAAUAGACAAACACCAAAACUCGUGGAAUUCUAUCAGAUAAAACCCUAAGUCUAGAUGUUGAUUUCAUUUGGAUCCUUUUCUUUGUUUAUUUCAUAAUUAAAUUUGAUACUUAAGGACCGUCAACAGGUGACACUUUGGUUGAACUAUGACACACCAUUCGAUACGACCACAAGGCUUCAUUUAACAAUGUAUGCCAUCUCCUAGGAUUUUCUUCAAUUUUCCACUUAAUGAGCUUAAUAAUUUCUUUGUUAGAAGCUUUGGCCUACCCAUUAGCUUGAGCAUAGUAAGGAGAAGAAUUCAACACCUUAAUCCCCAUACCAAUUGCAAACUCAUCAAACUCCCCUGAUGUAAACAUAGUACCCUGAUCGGUAGUAAUUGUUUGGGGAAUACCAAAUCCUUAAACAAUAUGCUCCUUUACAAAUCAAUCAUAUUAGCCGAUGUUACUUUCUUCAAGGGAAUAGCCUCAACCCACUUGGUGAAAUAAUCAGUGGCAACUAAGAUAAACUUAUGGCUUUUGCUUGAUGGUGGAUAAAUCUGACCGAUGAGAUCAAUAGCCCAUCCACAGAACGACCGAGGUUUGAUAAUAGGAUUCAUAGCCGAUGCGGGCGCCGUUUGGAUGUUGCCAAACUUUUGACAUCCUUGACAUCCUUUGAAAUAUUUAAAGCAAUCUUCAAGUAUUGCCAGCCAAUAAUAUCCAUUCCGCCGAGUCAUCCAUUUCAUCUUAAAAGAUGAUUGAUGUGCUCCACACACUCCUUCAUGAAUUUCACCCAUCAAGCUUCUAGAUUCAUCAUCACCCAAACACUUAAGCAAGACUCCAUCGAUCGUUCGGUAAUAUAACUCUUCCUCGAGGAGUACAAACUUUGUAGGUUGAAACCUAACAGGCCUCUCAACCUUUUUGGAUGGAUCUUUUAAAUAAUCAAUAAUUUCUUUCCUCCAAUCAUCAGCACUGUGUGCCGAUAAUAUGUCCAAGAUGGGUUGAUAUCCUGAGGCAUACUGAGCCAAUCGGUUGGCUUCUUCAUUAUGUAACCGAGGAAUAUGCUCUAAUCAGAAAUCUUUGAAUUCCUUCAAUAGUUGUACACAUCUUUCAUAAUAUGCUAUCAAAACCUCACUUCGGCAUUCAUAACUUCCAGCCAACUGGUUUAUAACAAGCAUAGAAUCACCAAAAAGUUCAACAGCAUCAGCAUGGACCUCCUUUAAUAACUCCAAUCAUUUGAUUAAAGCUUGGUACUCAGCUUGAUUAUUUGUCGACGUGGCAACAAUCGGUAAAGAAAACUCAUACUUCUUUCCCCGAGGAGAAAUUAGAACUAUACCGAUUCCUGCCCCCCGAUCGCAUGUAGAUCCAUGAAAGAAGAGCGUCCAAGGAGCAAUUUCCAAAGCAUCCACCCCACCACAAUGCUGAGUUACAAAAUCGGCCAUAAUCUGCCCUUUAACCGCUUUAGCCGAUUCAUAGCGUAGAUCAAAUUCCGACAAUGCCAAUAUCCACUUGCCGAUUCUACCGCUCAUAAUUGGCAUUGAUAACAUGUACCGAACUACUUCAUCUUUGCACACAACGGUGCACUCAGCCGAUAGCAAGUAAUGUCUCAAUUUGACACAAGAAAAGUAUAAGCAUAAGCAUAAUUUUUCAAUGGCCGAAUACCUUGUCUCAGCAUCUACCAAUCUUCUGCUUAGAUAGUAAAUUACAGGCUCCUUUCCUUCAAAUUCUUGAAUGAGAGCUAAACCGAUGACCAUAUCAUCGGUAGACAAAUAUAAUUUGAAGGGCUUUCCUUGUUGAGGUGGAACCAAAACACGAGGAUUUGCCAAAUAAUUCUUGAUUUUAUCCAAGGCUAAUUGUUGCUCCUUUUCCCACACAAAUUCUUGAUCGGCUUUUAACUUGAGCAAAGGGCAAAAAGCAUGAAUCUUACCUGACAAAUUAGAUAUAAAUCGUCUGAUAAAAUUAAUUUUGCUGAUCAAUGAUUGAAGUUCAGUUUUAUUGGUGGGAGCAACUAUUUUGUUGAUGGCAUCAAUAGAUCUCGUACUAAUUUCAAUUCCUCUUUGAUGCACCAUAAAACCAAGAAACUGCCAUGCCGAUACACCAAAUGCACAUUUAUUAGGGUUUAUUUUCAAACCAAGAAACUUUCUUUGUCACCUUUCGCAGAUCGACCAGAUGUUUUAUAAAAUCCCCAAACUAAACCACCACAUCAUCAAUAUAGAUAUCUACCAAUUUUCCGAUGAACUCGUGGAAGAUAAAAUUCAUGGCCCUCUGUUAAGUAGCACCAGCAUUUUUCAAACCAAAAAUCAUAACUAUCCAUUCAAACAAUCCAACAUGACUAGGACAUCUAAAUGCAGUCUUGGGAAUAUCCUCUUCAGCCAUGAAUAUUUGAUUGUAUCCUGCAUUGCCAUCCAUAAAACUAAUGAUCCAAUGCCCAGCUGCAGCAUCAACCAACAAAUCGGCAACUGGCAUUGGAUAACCAUCCAUCGGCGUAGCUUUAUUGAGAUUCCUAAAGUCGAUACAAACACGAAGCUUUCCAUUCUUUUUAUAGACAGUGACAACAUUGGAAAUCCAUUCGGCAUACCGACACUGCAGAAUAAACUUAGCUUCAAUAAGUUUGGUUAUUUUGGCCUUAAUAUCAGGAAGAAUAUUAGGAUUGCAUCGGCGGCCGAAAUCCAGACUUAAUAGGCAACCGGUGUUCAACAAUUGAUCGGUCUAAACCACGCAUCUCAGUAUAAUCCCAAGCAAAGCAAUCUUUAUAUUCCUUUAACAGAUCGGUUAAUUGUUGCUUACACUCAGAAUCUAACUUAGCACUAAUAAAAGUAGGUCUUGGUCUUUCACCAUUACCUAUAUCUACUUCUAUUAGAUCAUCAGCCGAUGUAAACCCCUGACCUGACUUUCCAUCAUCGGCAAACCUAUCCAUUAAAACUCUUCAUCAGAACCGACUACUUGGAUCGGUGGAAUUUCAUAAUCGGCAACCUUGAGAAAAUCUUUCUCCCAAACUUCUCCUGAAAUGCAUCUGGUUCUCUCAUAAGUAUCUGACUCUGCCGAUGCUAUCACAUAUGAAGAAUCUCCCAGAACAAUCUCAAUUUUGUCACCUACCCACUGAACAAGACAUUGGUGCAUUGUAGAAGGAAUACAACAAUUGGCAUGGAUCCAAUCUCUUCCCAGCAGUAAGUUGUAUGCACCUUUUCCACUGAUAACAAAGAAAGUUGUCGGCAAGGUUUUGCUGCCGAUAGUCAAUUCAACACUUAUAGCCCCCUUAACUGGAGACACAUUCCCUUCAAAAUCUUUCAACAUCAUAUCGGUCUUGGUCAAAUCUUGAUCUCCUUUGCCAAGUUUCUGAUAUACCGGAUACGGCAUAAUAUUGAUUGCAGCCCCUCCAUCAAUGAGUAUCUUGGAAAUCGGUUGCCCAUCAACCCUGCCUUUGACAAACAGAGCCUUAAAAUGUUGUCUUUCAUCAUCGGAAGGUUUCUCCAAGAUAGCCGUCAUUGGAUCAAGAGCCAACUGAGCUGUUUGGUCAGGGAAAUCUACCCCCUCAUCAUCACUGAAAGGUGCAACAAACUCCAUCAGCAACAUAAACAGCAUGUGUAACAUCGGCGGAUGGUCCUUUUCCCUUGGGAUUUGAUUGCUGCCGAUUCUCUAACUUAGAAGAACUUUCUUCCCUUCUUAAUUCUUCUAGCCUCUUGUUGGGUAUUUUAAACGCAAACAGAAAAAUCCGCAAGCGCACGGAUACCGAUGUAGCCUUCACCCGGGAGUAUUCGAGAGUAUCGAUUUUCCACAGGGAACGUGAGUGUACUAAUUAAGAUCCAAGAUCGCCCAAGGAUAACUAUAUAAUUAUUUUUGGUGGGAAGAGAGGAAGUUUCCUGAGAGUUCUCUAGUUGAUCUAAGAAUCAAGAAUUACUUCAAGAUUAUCUAUUUCGGGACAUCAGAGCACUAACCACAGAAAGUGAUGAGAAGGGGGCUAGGAAGGUCUGACUACGGUCCUACAAACACGGAUCCGAACAUGGUGGAAUACGUCGACCAUUAGGGCUGUCACUACCCUAGGGCUACCACAACAAUCCGCAAGAUUGGGUGCAAUUCCAGGUAAUUGCAAGACUAAACUCCACGUCUAAUCUAUCAAUUACUACUCUAGCGUUAUAAAGACUAGAGCACUUGAUGCAAGCGGAAAUCCAAUAAAUAACUUGAAUGUAAAUAAAAGUAAUUAAAGAACUCAGGAAUUAUGAAUUGAAGAACUUGGAGAACGAUGAAGAAUGAACCAGUUGCUGCAAAAGUAUAAUGUUGAGGAAGAUCCGACAGACCCGGCUCCUCCUCCGCUCUCCUCUUCUCUCUCCCUAUUUUCUAGAUUACAACUAGAACUAACUAGAACUAGAACUAGAGGAACUAGAACUAGAACUAGAUGAACUAGAACUAGAUCUAGAUGAACUAGUGGUAGAACUAGAAGAACUAGAGGGAUCCUCUCUACUUGGAUGAAGAAUUGAAACCCUAGCUUCGAUUCUGUAGAAGAGGUAUGCUCUCCAGGGGCCAGGGGGCCUUGCUUAUAUAGUCUUUUCAGAUGAAUCUGGGCUGUUGGAUCAAACCGACAUUGAUUGAACGGUUAUCCUUGAUCCUUUAGGUCGGUGGAGCAAUAUCCCAAAAGAGAGUCCUGAUUGGACUCUAGCUGAGGGCGGGCGCCCAGGAAAGGAGGGCGGGCGCCCUGUCCCUGAGUCCUCUCGGCUUCUCGUUCGUUCCCGUGGCUUCUGGAGUCUUCUAGAUGGUAGAAAAUUGCGCAACAUGUUAAUAUCUCUAUGUAAACCCGACGUGUGGGCCUUUCCUCCAUAUUUCCUGAUAACCCCCUGCAGAAAUAGACAAACACCAAAACUCGUGGAAUUCUGUCAGAUAAAACCCUAAGUCUAGGUGUUGGUUGCAUAUAAGUCCUUUUCCAUGAUUAGUUGAUGGUUAAAUGUGAGCAUUAAGGACCGUCAACAAACUCCCCCAAGCUUAACCUUUGCUCGUCCCUGAGCAAAGAUGAACUCAAGAGUUUCUGUAGUGGUUUCAUGCCUUAAAGAUAUACAUGCAUUCAAACAAGAUCUCAUCUCUGGGUUAGGGUAAACUAUUAAGAUUUAAACUUACUCAUAUUACCUUCCACCAUGGGGCUUGCAACCAUCACUUGUGUCUUGAGCAGUUAAAAGAUAGAACGGUCUAAUCAAGCGCCAUGUCUCAUGUUCUUGAUCAACUAUAGCUCUGGAGUUUUUGCAGAUUUUCAAAUAAAACUUAGAGAUUCCUUGUAUGACUCUCUCUAGUCUCUCUUUUGUGGUAUUUCUGGAUCCUUACCAAGGCAGUAAUGGUGUAUGCCUUCUCUCAAAGUAUGUGGUAUUUUUGGUAUGAGGCAUAGUGACAUUGCCUUCUCUCUCACCCUACUCUAAUAAGGUUUUGAUAUCUGGAGCUCAUAGGUGGGAGACAGCUAAUACAUACUUACAAGACAAUUAUUGCAUAGUCAAACCAUAGAUCCAGAAGAACAAGUCAAUAAGUCAAAUCAAGAUGUGCAUGUGUGGCGAAUGAAUGGUGUAUGGUGAUGAUGGUGAUAACAAUGGUGAAAGUCUAAUUGUACUUUUGCUCUUUUGAGGGGAUACAUACCUUUCUUGCUCUUUGAAACUUUUUGAGGAGAAUGAGAUGCUCUAUAUUUUCUUUUUUUUUUCUUUUCUCUCAGGUGGGUAUCUUGUACCCCUAAUUCUACUGUCGGACACUUGUCCAUUUUUACCUCUCGUCUCACUUUUUUUUCUUUUCUUUCGAGGUUUCGGGCACUUGCCCCUUUUUAUUUCCUCGUAUCUUUUUUUUUCUCUUUUUUAGAGCACUCAUCUCUUGAAAUAAUGUAGCAAGUGGUAGUAACCAAGAUAACUUGAGCAUUUAUUUCACAGGGAAACAGAAAUAGGAGAAUGUUUUUGGCUAUUCUCUCCCGGAUUAGGAGUAGAAUAUUUUUGGGUGGUUCUGGAGAUGGAAAUGGGUGGAUAUAUGUGGAUGCGUACUUCCGAAGUAGAAGCAGCAUGUGUGAGUGAACGUGCAAGUGAAUCUUGAUUUAUCCACAUGACAAGCUCCUAAGGGUCUACACACCUUGACCACACUCAAUGCUCAUAUGCAGUAAAAAGUAAAUGUGUGGCUCAAAGUCUAGCAAGCAUGUAUAUAUGGUUAUGGUAGGAAUUUAAACUCUCAUCAUACAGGAACUCAUCAUGCAACAUUUUAAAGAUUUUCGAAGAUAAAAUUCUCCAGAAUUCUAGCAUCUCUACGAACAGAUAAGCAGCAGCUCAACCUUCCCAUAUCGUAUCCGUUAAUGACUUAGACUUUAGAUCAAGUACUCUCCCCACAAGUUUUAGGUUAGAGCAAAUCUUAAUUAAUACCAAUCAUGCCUAAACUUGAGAGAGAUUUCAAUUUUGAGAACUAGUCAUGGCAGAGCAACUAUUCAUCAUUUCCAUAUGAGAGCUUAUCAUGAGGGUUCAUAGCAAACUUUAUUUAUUUAUUUAUUUAGCAAACUAAGCAAAGAUAUAUAUAUAUAUAUAUAUAAGCACAAAAUCUUUAUUUUGGUUCUUAUGAUUAUGCAUCAUUUUAUUAUUAGAGUAAAGUAUAAAUGUGAGUAGAAUACUUAGCUGGAUAAAUGGGGUGCUCUCCCCUAAGCUGGAUUUUGACGUAAUUUCUUCUGAUAUAGCUAGCAGGUGGCGGAGGUGUAUUUGAAUGUCGGCAACACCCUAACAGUGAUUAGGAUGUCCUCCGUCUGCUAGUCUUCUUUGAUCCUUGAAUUCUGUGGAGCUCAAAUAGACAACAAAGCUUUGUGGAACUGGUUAAGUGUUAGCAUAAAUAUCUAGCCUUUAUCAUGUUGAGCCUCCUCAAUAAAUGUUACUCUUUUUAGUAGGAUCACAAUCUUAUUUUUAUAUUUUCAUUUUUAUAAGAUAGGAAUAUAUUUAUUUUAUUUUUAUGCCACCACAGUGAAUGUACUUAUGGGUUUUAUGCCAUGAGCAUACUCACAUGGGGCUUACUAUUUUUAACAUUUUUAUUUUCUUUUCAAGAUAACAUUAACCUGAUUAACUAAGCAAACUAUUUUAAAUAAUUAAAAGGAAAAGGAUAACUACCAAGUUUACCUCUUGGCAAGGGAUUCGGUGUUUUUAAGUCCUCCGAACGGGACUCUCCGUUUUCUUAAUCGUCCUAGGAUUCGCUGAAUGGCGUAGUCGGUGGUUCCGGCGGCGCCUUACCACUUCUCCUUCAUAGUCUGCCCAUCCGUCCUUGAUGAUUUGCCUCCUCUAGUUGUGGUUGCGUUGUCUUCUUCUUGUCCUAACCUGCUUAGAGUCUUCAACUAUAUAGUUAAGAUCAGUAAAAUAGCAGCGUACCUUCUCAGAGAGGAAGUGCAUGUGGACUUCUCUGGUUCCAAUGUAGAUGAUUGCUUUAACAGUGCUGAGGAACAGUCUCCCAAGGAUGAUGGGUGGAUCGUACUUGUCUUCUCCCAUGUCAAUGACCUUUCGGAAUGUCUAAUCUUCCAUCUGGAGCUGAAUAUAUGUCGGUUUUAGGGGCAUGGUUCCGAAUAGGAGCUGAUAGGUCACUGGGUCGUCCUUUUUGGUCAGGAACGGUGACUUAAGUCGACGAUCUUGACAUCCUUGAACUGCAGUGACCAUCUUAGCUAACUUGGACCACAUUUUCUUGUUUUUGUUCCUCCUGUUGGUCCUCUUCCUUGCUUCAUGUCGGGAUUGCUCUGAGAUUUGUGUAAUCUUGUUCUCGAAGGAAAACGUCUCCUUCUUCCCCUUGAUGUAGAAACUGAUCCUGGCAACACUAGCGUAGAUGACAGCUCCCGAGGUGUUCAGGAAUGGCCUCCGUAGAGGUUCUUCAAUAUUCCCUUUGGGAGACUUAGUGUCCGAUCUACAAGCCUAGGCAUAAUGUUGACGCUGGAGCCAAAGUCGCAGAGUGCUUCUGGGAAGUCCACCAUGCCAAUGGAGAUCGAGAUGACAGGGCAUCCUGGAUUGCCUCUCUUGACUGGCAGAAGGUUAGUAAUUACUUCCACAACGGGGUUACUCCAGUAGUUACGUUCUCAAGCAUCUUCGGGCAGUGAUUGCCUGAGUGUCCAGUAUCUCCAGUGUGUUUGGGCUCGUAGAUCUAGGUUCUUCACUUGGUGGAGUCUGGGAGUUGAAAAAGUCCUUCAUAGUUUGCUUGAAGUGUACCUGCUCAUAGAGACAAGGCAGAGAUCAAGUGCGUGGGCCCUGUUGGUGGAAAACACCAACAGAACCAAAAGUGUAUUUAUUCUUCUCUAACCUUAAGCAUAGUGAGCAAGACAAAGUUGACGGAUAAUAAGAUCAUGAGUGUAGCAUGUAAAACAUUUGUC